UCUGGUUGAUCCUGGCGGAGGUUACUGCUAUCGAGGUUCGACUAAGCCAUGCGAGUCGAAUGUAGCAAUACAUGGCGUACUGCUCAGUAACACGUGGACAACCUACCCUGAGGUCGGGGAUAAACCCGGGAAACUGGGUAUAAUACCCGAUAGAUCUAGAUUGCUGGAAUGCUUUUAGGUCUAAAGUUCCGACGCCUCAGGAUGGGUCUGCGGCCUAUCAGGGUAGUAGUGGGUGUAAGGUACCUACUAGCCUACGACGGGUACGGGUUGUGAGAGCAAGAGCCCGGAGAUGGAUUCUGAGACACGAAUCCAGGCCCUACGGGGUGCAGCAGGCGCGAAACCUUUACAAUGCUGGCAACAGCGAUAAGGGGACCUCGAGUGCUACGAUACAAUCGUGGCUGUCUAGUUGCCUAAAAAGCAAUUGAUAGCAAGGGCCGGGCAAGACCGGUGCCAGCCGCCGCGGUAACACCGGCGGCUCGAGUGGUAACCGCUAUUAUUGGGUCUAAAGGGUCUGUAGCCGGCUUAGUUAGUCUCUUGAGAAAUCUGGCCGCUCAACGGUCAGGCGUUCAGGGGAUACUGCUAAAGCUCGAGACCGGGAGAGGUGAGAGGUACUUCAGGGGUAGGGGUGAAAUCUUGUAAUCCUUGAAGGACCACCAGUGGCGAAGGCGUCUCACCAGAACGGAUCUGACGGCAAGGGACGAAAGCUAGGGGCACGAACCGGAUUAGAUACCCGGGUAGUCCUAGCCGUAAACGAUGCUCGCUAGGUGUCGGCCACGGUGCGACCGUGGUCGGUGCCGUAGGGAAGCCGUGAAGCGAGCCACCUGGGAAGUACGGCCGCAAGGCUGAAACUUAAAGGAAUUAGCGGGGGAGCACUACAACGGGUGGAGCUUGCGGUUUAAUUGGAUUCAACGCCGGAAAUCUUACCGGGGCCGACAGCGAUAUGAAGGCCAGGCUAAGGACCUUGCCUGAUUAGCUGAGAGGUGGUGCAUGGCCGUCGUCAGUUCGUACUGUGAAGCAUCCUGUUAAGUCAGGCAACGAGCGAGACCCA
rnacentral:rRNA from 1 species